AUAGCUCUUGUGGAGAUGCAUGAGACAGAACAUAAGCAGAAAUAUGGGACAAUGAGCACUAUAGACACGAGAUGUCACUCAACCGUACACAGGCUUUUGAAGUCUACAGGAAAGGAUCCAGUGGUAACAGUUCAUAUUGGCACUGAUGACACACUGUCAUGGCAUAUUUCACAGAUAAUAAAUUUGAGACCUCCGAAGCAUGCUCAUAGAGAAGAUCACUUGGACAGCCCCUGUCCCACAACUAAAGGAAGACAGAAGGCAGAAGAUUUGGGAAGCAAACUGCUAGCUAGACAGUAGCCAGCAAAAACAGAAGUGACCCUCAGGAGUGUGGAUAAAACCUUAAAAAGGUGAGCCACAUACGCUAUAGUAUCCUAGAUGCCAGAAAGCAAACCUAACAGUAACAUAGUGAGGCGCUCAUCAUGUAACUUCGGCAUAUUUCUCAUUUAAUACAGCGUUGAAUGCCGCAUGGAAGAAGCCAGCAUUUAAACUUUUAUCUAUGCGAGCACAUUAAGUAAGAGUUAUUCCUACUGAUCCACUGGAAAAAAAAGAGUUGAAUAAAGUCAUAACAGAACAUGCCAGUUGAAAAUUCCAUUUUAACAUAGAGGUGCUCUCAAGCAUGAAGAAGUUUAACAGAAGGCCUAUUCAGAAAAUGUUUCAGUCAAAAGAAUGAAUGUCCAGUGAGCAAGUAUCGUGCAUGAAACUAAACCAGAGAGGAACAAUACUUUGCUUACGUUAAGCCACAUGAACAUAUGAAGUAACUCAAUGUCUUGUUAUACAGAGCUCUAAAAGAAAAACCAUGCAAGCACUUUUCGUGAUGGAGCUUAGUAUUCCAGCUGUGCGAACCUCACUGCAUCACUCUGGAAUAGGUAUUUUUCCUAAGCUGUGUAAAAACACUCAAUUGGGCAAUAUGAACAGAGGGUGUCAACUCCGAAGGGACUGGCUUUCAACACACACAGAAAAGCUAUGCUUCAGCUUCCUAGAUCAGUAAGAUGGCAGCUGGAAGAACUUGCACAGCCUCUGAGCCUCCUGAGAAACAAAACUGGCAUCUCACAUUGCACAAUUUCAACAGUACUCAACUCAAAAGUGGGAGUGGCGUGUGUCCAGACCUGUACACAGCACAUGCGACUGAAGGUUUGAAAGAAUCUUCAUGCUAUUGUGCAUUAAUAUUUAGCAUUAAA